CCCUUAGAGUUUGAUCCUGGCUCAGGAUGAACGCUAGCUACAGGCUUAACACAUGCAAGUCGAGGGGCAGCAUGGUCUUAGCUUGCUAAGGCUGAUGGCGACCGGCGCGCGGGUGAGUAACACGUAUCCAACCUGCCGUCUACUCUUGGCCAGCCUUCUGAAAGGAAGAUUAAUCCAGGAUGGGAUCAUGAGUUCACAUGUCCGCAUGAUUAAAGGUAUUUUCCGGUAGACGAUGGGGAUGCGUUCCAUUAGAUAGUAGGCGGGGUAACGGCCCACCUAGUCAACGAUGGAUAGGGGUUCUGAGAGGAAGGUCCCCCACAUUGGAACUGAGACACGGUCCAAACUCCUACGGGAGGCAGCAGUGAGGAAUAUUGGUCAAUGGGCGAUGGCCUGAACCAGCCAAGUAGCGUGAAGGAUGACUGCCCUAUGGGUUGUAAACUUCUUUUAUAAAGGAAUAAAGUCGGGUAUGCAUACCCGUUG
rnacentral:rRNA from 1 species